rnacentral:lncRNA from 1 species
AUGGUGGGAGAAUUAAAUGACAUUGAAAAUUCUAGAGAUGAAGGAAAACAGACUAAAACCUCAAGCACCAGAUGGAUGAAGAAAGAGAAGAGUCGUUUAGGGAUGAACCCAGCCGUCCAGAUCAUCAAUAUAUUUGCUCCCCUGUCCGUGGGCCAGGUGAUGACAUGGGCAUCUCAUGUGAUCGGUUGUGGUUUCAUUCUUGGAUGGAACUUGGUUUCACUUCUUGUGGAGUUUCUAUUUCUGUCCAGAGUUUAUCAGCUAGUUCCCCAAUUGGCUGUAAAACCCCAGCAACAAACAGGGGGCACUUCCAAGGAAGGCAAUAGGAGGCUAAGAACAUUCAAGGUGAAAUGGACUCUGGGGAAACCACCGAUGGAUUCAUCAACAAGCUCAAAACUUCGGGAGGGUUAAAGGAUAGCCAGUCUAACCUUGAAGGACAACAGGCCACAACCUGUGCUUCCUUGCUGCCUCCGAAACCCCUGAAGGCUGCUGCGCAUGUGCCAUGAGGGGUGGGAAGUGUCCUACAUACAGGCAGACUGUCUUCCUGGUGGGCUUGGGUUUGGCCUUCCUCUACAUGACCACUAGCUACACCUCUACCCAAG